rnacentral:rRNA from 1 species
AGUGAACGCUGGCGGUAGGCCUAACACAUGCAAGUCGAACGGCAGCACAGUAAGAGCUUGCUCUUACGGGUGGCGAGUGGCGGACGGGUGAGGAAUACAUCGGAAUCUACUUUUUCGUGGGGGAUAACGUAGGGAAACUUACGCUAAUACCGCAUACGACCUACGGGUGAAAGCAGGGGAUCUUCGGACCUUGCGCGAUUGAAUGAGCCGAUGUCGGAUUAGCUAGUUGGCGGGGUAAAGGCGCACCAAGGCGACGAUCCGUAGCUGGUCUGAGAGGAUGAUCAGCCACACUGGCACUGAGACACGGUCCAGACUCCUACGGGGGGCAGCAGUGGGGAAUAUUGCACAAUGGGCGCAAGCCUGAUCCAGCCAUACCGCGUGGGUGAUGAAGGCCUUCGGGUUGUAAAGCCCUUUUGUUGGGAAAGAAAAGCAGCAGGUUAAUACCCCGCUGUUCUGACGGUACCCAAAGAAUAAGCACCGGCUAACUUCGUG